rnacentral:rRNA from 1 species
GACGUAGGGGACGAGCGUUGUCCGGAUUCAUUGGGCGUAAAGCGCGCGUAGGCGGCCACGCAAGUCGGGUGUGAAAUCCCGGAGCUCAACUCCGGAACUGCACUCGAAACUGCGCGGCUUGAGGUAGGUAGGGGAGAUCGGAAUUCCUGGUGUAGCGGUGGAAUGCGCAGAUAUCAGGAGGAACACCGGUGGCGAAGGCGGAUCUCUGGGCCUUACCUGACGCUGAGACGCGAAAGCGUGGGGAGCAAACAGG